CGGAGCCCUCCUUCUCCCCCUCACGCCUCAGCUCUCCCCCCUCCGCCGUUCCCCGCCUCAGGCGCCAUCGCUGCCUCUCCCCCCAUCUCAGCCCGUCCUGGCGUUACCCCUAAAAUAUUGUAUAUUUUGCCUCAUUUUUGGCCCCAGAAUUCCGCUUUUCACACGCGCCCCACCCCCUCCCCCCAUCAUCAUCACCACACGCACCCCAAGGUGGGUAGUUUAAUGUCUAAUUUUGUUCUUUUGCACCGCUUUUCUCCUUCGCAGGGGUCGGAGCCGCCAUCUCCCGCUUUCCUCACGGCAUGGAAAAUACCCAAACGUGCUUGGGGAAAAAAAAAAAAAAAAAAGGAAAAAUCCCCUAACAGCCGAGGACUGAUUUAUCUUCGGAGCCGGAGUGGUGUGGGAAGAAGCCAUCGCCGCUCGCCUGCUCCCCACGACAGCUCGCCAACCAUUCGCUUAAUUAAAAUCAUAUAUUGGUGUGAUCAGACGUGGUAAUACCAUAAAAAACUCAAAAUCCCGUAACAUCCACACGCUCGUUGUUGGAGGCUGCAGCCAAGUCCCCAAGUGACCUCCUGCAGCGCUGCAGUUCGACCACAGCUUUGCACUGAAGCACUGAUGUGUCUCCCUGGGAGCCAGAGUGACCUUGCUGGGGGACUGGGCCCACCAGGCAAUGCAGAUGCUCCUCUUCAUCCCAGAUCCCUGCAUCCCUUUUUUCCCCAUGCAUCCCUUCCCUCACCCAGGGGGAUGUUACAGUGUUACAGUGGGCAAAGCCGUUUCAUGCCUUAGUUUUUCUCUCUUUUUAAAUUUUUUUUAUUUCCUGGGGAAAUAGUGGGUUGUUUGUGUAACCCCUCUCCCCAGCAGAUCGCUACUAACCACGCAGGGAUCUGUGAGUCUCCUGGGCAGUGGGAUCCAGCCUUUCCAUGAGUGUGAGGCUCCAUCCAUGUCCGUGUGUGUCAUACACGGGCCACAAAACCCCACAGUAUUCCUGUGGUUAGUUUUGUCUGGAGACCACGAGUGGGUCCCAGGGCUUCCCCUUCCCACCACUUGCUGGUUCACAAAGGCUGAUGCUUCUGGAAAAAGCUCUGCCUUGUGGCCUUUUUUUAAAAAAAUAAAUAAAAUAAAGUGGCACUGCUGGGGAUUAGUCAUCCUUAUUUUUGAAGGAAGCUGUUUGCCAGUGCUGUCUGUUAUCACGCAUGUGCGUGUGAGAUGGGAACUCCAGAAGGCUGGUAACGUGCUCCGCUCACUGCUCCUUGGAGCUGAGCCACCCAGGCUCCAUUGAGCUGCUCCUGGCAGGUGGAAAAACCGACAGUCCAGCUUUCCAGACCCUUUCCCUCCAUUUUUUCAGGGCUGGAAUCUCUGCGUUGGCAGGUGUGGAAACGUGGAGGCUGUAACUGCAGGGAGCGAGGACGGAUGAGCUGUUUUCUGGGGUCACAUCCAAGUCCAGAGAAGAAACCCUGGUGAUUUAUAAUUCUUUUUUUUGCCUGUGGUGGAUUUUACUCCGAGCUCCACUGCAUCUUGUGAGAAGACUGAGUUUGACCCUUUUGGCUGCUGAAAAUGGUUCUGUGUUUAAAGCUCGGUGCUUUUUCCCUUCCCUGUGGUCACGUAGAAGAGCGAACCGCGCAAUUAACCAGCACAGCAAAGGGCAGCUCCCUCCCCCUUUCCCCUUUCAAAAAAUCCAGAGUUGUGUGUCUUGAACUGCUGCAUAGGCAGAAAACAUACAAAGCCCUUGUCAGCAUUGUGCUGAUGUGUGGCACAUUAAAAAAAAUACACACAAAAGGGGUGGGGAGAGCGGGUGCCUCCAGGGAGCAAAACUGUGGGGCCCCUUUCCCUCCAAGCCAACAGACCUACGUGCCAUAGUCUAUUCCUCCUAAUUUUGCUCAGGCGAAGGUAGUGGAGGUUGGAGGGAGUGCUGAACGUCCCAAAUUGUGUUGGUGAAGAUCAGGGUCCCCUUGAACUGUAUUUUUUUUUUUCUCUGUGAACUCACUCCCACAAGAUGUUGCUGGUUUAUUACUCCAUUCCUCGCUCCCUGGGAAGAAGGAAAACGCUUCCUUACGGGGUGUAAUUCCUUUUGUUGCGUUGCAAAGGUAAUAAAAGGCACCUGGUGCUGGUCUCUCCCAGGUCACACAUGACUUCAAGGCGCAGCUCCCGUGGUCAUUAGUGCACAGGGAGUGCUGGCUUCGUUAGCCCUUAAUGAGGAUAUCGCCAUCAGGAUUGCACGGAUGCCUCUGGCAGACCAGGCCCUGCCACGCUGGAGCAGCCCCUUAUGAGAAAUGAUUUCCCUGCCUGGUUGCUGCAGUGGUUUGUAGCACAGCCAUGGCUUUAUGCUUGUUUGGCCAAAAUUAGGCAGAGGGGGAGGAUGAGGUGGCCAGGCCACGUUUCAUCCCUUGCUCCCUGCAGUGGAGCUGGUGUGGGAACACCGUCAGCAGCUCCUGUGCCUAAAGACUCGUUUGUACUUGGAAUAAGGCAGCAUGGACGGGGAUAUUAAUGUUGUUCUUCACUUAGGGCUGUGUUGGUUUGGAGAUACGCCUCGUGCUCGUCACAGGGAGGUUCAGAGAAACAAGAAGUUGGCUGUUGGGAUGAUUCCACAUUUUUCAGCCUGGCACACCCUGUGGGACUUGGAAUUACUUUCCUUUGGCAGUUUAGGAUAAACGAGUGAGAAUUACCUUAUGAGUACUGAACUUUUACCACCCUGAAGACUUACUUGAGCUACAUCCAUGGGCACUUCCAAGCUAAACAAAACCUGGAUUUCUAGUGCCAAAAAGUGAUACGAACCUCCACUCCUCCUCCAUACAGGGGGAAAGCAUGGUCUUGCAAGCUUUCCUGUUAUCCCAGAGUUAAAAUGCUGCACUGUGAGAUCUGCAGAGGUGAAAUGAAAUCCAAAGGCAGCUGAGAAACUUCUCCUGUGCUGUGUUGCUGGAGAGGCUUCUGAGAGCAGCAGGUCUCGAUGCACAAAUAUUUCCCUUUGUGCUUUCUCUGGAGUGAAGGAGCGAUAACUGCAAGGACACGGGUUCACUCUGCUUCCUUUAAACACCCUCGUGUUGCUGCGGUAUCAAAAUGGUGUUUGAUGAAACAAAAGCUCUGAUGGUGGUGGCUCAGUGUUUGUUUUGUGCUGGGUGUGCUGAUCAGUCCAACGGGGAAUGUGGGAAGAGCAGCCUAAGGCUCGAAGGUUUGGACUGGGGGGUUGUGUUAAAGCCUUGCCCUACAACAUUUCCAGCCUGAUUUCUGUGAUUUCCUCCCCCCCCUGGGCAUUGCACACAGGAAAAAAUUACAUUUUGAUGUAGAUUUAAUACAACAAUUAGAUGUUAUAAAUGGCAAAGUACAGGACUUAGUGAUCUAACCAGUCCUAGGGGAUUUAUAUCCUUUGCAGUUUUCCUGUUUGGAUAUCAAAUCACAUGGCUUUUUUUUUUUUUUUUACAUUUGUUUUAUUUGGUUUUGCCCUGAAAUGUAAUAUUUUGCUGCCUGGAAGACCAUAGUCCUGUCUAGCUGAUGAAAGCCCUGCAUUUGGGAAGAAUCCUUGUCAGAUGGGUGGACACUGCUCUCUGGCACAUGGUUGUACUGAAGCUGGGGGGCAAGGGGAAGCAGGGCAGAAGCUGACACGGUGAUAUCUCUAAUUUUUCCUAACAGUAGGCAAAAACAGAGGUUUGUAUUCCAUACAUCUGCUGGACUGGAAGUGAGAGGAAGCAUUUUUGCAGUCCUGUUAUGGCACCUGGUGUUUGUUUGUGUGGCUCAGCUCACUGUGCUCUGUUGCUGAAGAAACCUCUGGUGUUCUGUAGCAAAGAUUUUGAAAACAGAAAUGUGCUUUUAUGUAGAGAUACAAAGGGGUUCAGUGUCAACAGAAUUCCAGGGGCUCCUGAGCUGUGUUUACUGGGCUGCAGAAGGUGACUGGUGGCAUUUUGUGGCAUCUCCCAUCCCUGACACUGCGUGGAUAAGAACACCAUGGGGAAGAAUUCAUUUAAGAAAAUAAAUCACUAAAUUCUGGGUUUCAAAAAGGGAGGGAGGUUUCUGCAAAAAGUCAUCUCGUCGUGAAGAUUUGGAUCGCUGACUCUAAAAAGAACCAAAAUCAAGAGCUUUAUUAAUCUAAAUCCUGUGCUUUGUGUUGCUUAAGGCUCCAGAACCCAACUCUGUGUUCCAAGCGAGAGCCUCUGUCUUGGCAACAAAUGAGCCCAAAUAUCAAACACACCAGUGCCUUCUUGGAGAAAAUGAGCAUAGAACAGAAUGGGUAAGCAAUAAAAUUAGGCCAAUAAUUCAGGCUGGCUUAAAAAGGAGAUAAAAGCCUAGCUGGGAAUUUGAUAUUCAGCUGCCAUAGCGUUCUUUUAAUAAAUACAGUCAAUGAGCAGGGAAGGCACGUAAAUACAUUUUAUCCUGACAAGAUGGUGGCUGGAGCUGGCUGGCUCCAACAAAGAAACAUUCCAAGUGUUUUGGGGGGCUCUUGGCUGGGAAACCUCCUGUUUUCCUAUAUAAAGCAGAGAAACUGGCUGUGCCCUGGACCCUGUUGGGGACGAUCAUCGUGUGCCUGCUGGGGUGCCGUGGUAUCCCUUCCCCACGUCCAGCUGGCAGCACAACACACAGAGCUGUUGCUGAGCCAGACCCGAGGGGAGGAAGCCUGAGCAAACAGCCCUGGUUGCUGUCCUUGCUCGGUAUCUAAUCUUUGCUUUUGGAAGUGUUUGGCGAGCGGUGCCAGCGACACGUGGUAGCUCCACCACCCGGGGAAGAUGCCGUGUUAAAAACGGGCAAACUCGCCUUUUCAAGCGUUUUUCCUCCUCACUUCUGUUUAUUGGUGUUUUCUCCUCAAAGUGAGGCUGCUGUGCAGACCCCAAGGAUGUUUUCUGCUUCUCCUGCCCCCUCUUUUUCCCCUCUAAACUGGAGAGCUGCUAACUUUAUUAGCUCCUUAUAUGGCAGCCCUAUUUUCUCACGCCUUUAAUGGCUCUCUUUUGAUCUGUCCUGUUCUUGCUUUGCUUCUCCUCAUGUGAACACGGUGUUCAAGCUGAGAUGGGUUUAUAACCUGCUCCCUCACUAAUAUACGGGCUGGCACUUUAAUCCUCUGCAAGUGCUGAUAAGAAACAUCCAACUGUUGUAACUACAGGGUUGGCCGACAUGGCCGGAGAUCGCCGGGCACUCGGCUACACCCAGCCAGGAGUCAUUUAAAUUGUCCCAAAGGCUGAAGGUUAUCAGGUGGUGAUGCAGAGCAGCUCAAGUCCCCUUGUCCUUGGCUGUUUGUCCCCUGGGAAGGGCAGCACAGCGGGAUGUGCAUCCACGUCUCCCCCCUGGAUGCUCAUCGUGCUCAUGGCAGGACAGUGGCACGAGUGAGUGUCACAAGGGCGGUGUUGGUUGCUGCUGCAGGAGACCAGCCCUUCAUCACGGCCCCUGUGCUGAGAGAGAGGUUUUGCUCACUCUGCUCUCCAGCCUGUGUCUGUGUUCUUUAAAAUCUUCGAGCGAGCUGGAGGGAUCCGGUUACAGCGGCACCGCUCGUGUGUUGCAACUGGGAACAGUUUCCCCACAAAGCGUUUGAAAAGCACUGGAUGGGCCAGCGCUUUGUUUUGCGUCACCAGCCAGGGUUUGUGCUCCUCUUCCAGCUGGUUGUCCUGUAAACGGAGCCCUCCUGGCGCUCCUCUCAACCCUCUCUUCUGUCAACAGAGUCGAUGGCUUUGUUUGUGACAACUUCCAGCCCCGAGGUCCUGUGAGAUCACUGGGUGACAGCAGUGACCCUGCAGGAGCUUCCCUGGAAGGACCCGGGAGCCGGCGUGCUUUCCUCGCGUCUGUCGGAGACGCUGCCCCAGCAGGGAGCAGGAACAGCUGGAAAUGCUGCCACAGCAAGAACCCUCCAUCGGAAAGGGAGAAUUCCCCAUGGAAAAGCUGUUUGGUUUGGGUUCUUCCUCUCCGGAAUGGGAGCCUGUUAAAGGCAGAGACACGUACAGAUUGCUCCUCGUGCUUCCACCAGUUGAGAUGGAAAGCUGAGCCCAAUCCCACACUGGAAGCACCGGUGGAGCACGUUGGCUUCAUCACAUGUUUAAAUAAUAGAUGGUUUGGGUGAAA